CCUGGUUGAUCUGCCAGUAGUCAUAUGCUUGUCUCAAAGAUUAAGCCAUGCAUGUCUAAGUACAAGCCGAUUUAAGGCGAAACCGCGAAUGGCUCAUUAAAUCAGCUAUGAUUCAUUGAUCUGUACCCACACUUACUUGGAUAACUGUGGUAAUUCUAGAGCUAAUACAUGCACCACGUCUCUGACCGCAAGGGAAGAGCGCUUUUAUUAGUUCAAAACCGGUCGGGCCUCGGUCCGUCACCCACCGUGUUGAAUCUGAAUAACUUGUCGCUGAGCGCACGGUCUCCGCACCGGCGCCGCCUCUUUCAAGUGUCUGCCUUAUCAGCUUUCGAUUGUAGGUUAUGCGCCUACAAUGGCUAUAACGGGUAACGGGGAAGGGUUCGAUUCCGGAGAGGGAGCCUGAGAAACGGCUACCACAUCUAAGGAAGGCAGCAGGCACGCAAAUUACCCACUCCCGGCACGGGGAGGUAGUGACGAAAAAUAACGAUGCGAGACUCAUCCGAGGCCUCGCAAUCGGAAUGAGUACACUUUAAAUCCUUUAACGAGGAUCUAUUGGAGGGCAAGUCUGGUGCCAGCAGCCGCGGUAAUUCCUCCAAUAGCGUAUAUUUAAAGUUUUGUAUGCGGUUUGGAGAAAAAGCUCGUAGUUGGAUUUCAGGUUCUGUGACCUGACUCUCGGUUACACUCCGUCCUCGGUGAUACUGUUCAUUCGUGCUCGAACAGCACAUCAUUACUGCUCUCGACUGAGCGUCAGCACGGGGUGUUCUCAUCACGAAGUGUCCGCUUGUGGACCUGCGGUGCAUUAGAUUUAUACGCUUUGAAUAUAAAAAAUUGUAGUAGUCGCUUCUAAAGCAUGGACUCUAUCAAUUUCAUUUACGGCAUCACUGUGGAUGCCAUAAUUCAUGGUAUAUUGCAAUUAUAGGACCUUCGGGUGUAUAAUGUGUUUGUCGUUGUUAUUUCUAGAUACCUCAGAGGUUAAUGACAAUAAGGAAAUCAUUGGCGGUAUGGGCAUCGUAUUGCGUACGAUAGAGGUAAUUUACUUGGAGCCGCUCGUCGCAGACGAACUCUGCCGAUUAGACAUUGGUCCCGUGUGGAUAGAUUCUUAAUUCAUAUGAAUUCGAAAUAAUUAUGAGAUUAUUGAUGAGGAUUCGUAAUAUGGCGAAUUUGCAGAUUACCGCCUUCUAGUUCUAACCAUAAACGGAUGCUGACUUCGCUGACUCUCGACCAGGCGGUCCGUUAUUACACCAUGAUCGGGGGUACUUUGCAUUUCCGAGGAGAAUAUUCCAGUGUACUUUGAGUUUCUCGUAGUGGGACGAGUAUAGUGGUUCAGUGCUAGAUCAAGUUCAAUCGAAAACUUUAGAUGAUUUCAAUUGAAUCGGUACAGGUUAAUGGGCAUCACACACAGUAGUAUGUGUCUGCGGGCUUAUUUGUACCUCAUAACUCUCAGGAGAAUUCCAUAACUCGCCUAGGCCUGGCACCGUAAGGUAUGACAUUGUAUGGAGUCUUUUCAUCUCGAUCGUAGUGUGUGUGGGUGGAGUCUUGAGCUGUCUCUUAGUUGGUUGGAGCGAUGUGGUUUCUGGUUUGUGUCAGAUAUAACGAAAUUGCCCCGACUCUGGCUCCUAAUCUUAUAAAUAGUCGCUCGUACGGAUAUCUCUCUCAGCAAUUUGGGUGUCCAGUUCGUCAUCUUCUUCAUAUUUGAGUAGCUCUGAGUCAUAGCUAAUUAGCACGCACUUAGUGAAGAUUUGUGAGGCUAUGAUAAACAGGUCUUGAUGUUGCCAUUUAAGAAUGUUGGUGAAUCUGCACGUCGCGCUCCUUGUAGGAGAAAUUCUAAU
rnacentral:rRNA from 1 species